AGCCCUUUAGAGCAAAUUUUUCCCCUUCUCUCGCAGCAGGAAUCCCGGGGCUCUGUGGGUGGGAGGACUCCUCCUCCCCAUGUCCUCUGACUGCCUGGAUUGUGUGUGUGUGUGUUUGUGUGUGUGUGUGUGUGUGUGUGUGUGUGUGUGUUUCUGGAUUAUGAUUUAUUUACUUAUUUAUUUAUUGCCUUUAUUUUAAAACAGGUAUCAGACUCCAGUAGUUGCCCAUUUAUUUUAAUUUAGAUACUGAGUGUUCUUCUCCAAAUCCUAAAGCCCAAAAUCUGCUGGCAGUUCAGGACGUGGCUCCAGCUCAGACUUCCCGGUGCAUCACCCACAGCAGACAGCAGGGCACAGGGCUCCCUCUUCCCAGUGGGACCUUCCGUCUUUCCCCUCUAUACAGCUUUUUCUCCCAGUCCCUACGGGGAGAAGUAAAUUCUUGGACACACUUUCCAAAGCCAAAAGCCAUGCCCAUGAGCUGUUCAUUCUGACUAUUCAUGGAGAGACACCAGGCAAUUGAAAUGAGAAAAUCCCACUGUGCCUCUGUGAGCCUUGGGGCUGCUGACUUUGGUGGCUUGAGUCCCAGGGUGCCAUUGUGGCCUCCGCCAGGUCCCCCCAGGGCCAGGACCUCUCCCGGCCAAGGUCAAGAAGAGGCUUUGACCUCUCUGAACCUCUGACCUCUCUGAACACCUCAUCUUACCCGUAGUCCUUUGCUUGAUGUUUAUUUUCCUGACCACACUCUACCUUCUGCAGGGCGUCCGCCACCCCCAUCCCCCAUCUGCCUGCUUCCUUCCCUGUUGUAUCAUAUCUCUGGUGCCUAGCCAAGAACCCAGCCCAUGGUAAGUGCCCCAAAAAUGUUUAUCCCAUGCCAGGAUGGACCCAGCCUUCUCUGUGCUGACUGCCCAAGGAGGAAAUGAAAUGACUCUGAACAUAAAGAGUAUCAAACUCAUGAAGAAGCGGACUUUUACCCCUUGGAGUUUCUAUUUCCAUGUGGCGACUUGUCUAUUCAUCCAGCUUCAAACGUACCUUCCCGGUGAGAGGCCCAAGUGUCUGGGCACAGCCUUUGGAAUGCUUGAUCAAUACCCACUCCGCAGAACAGAGCCAAAAGAAACAGGGGUCUAGGGACCAGCCCAGAGGUCUCAGAAUUGGCUUAAGGACCCUGGAGAUCUGGAAGAGCAUGAGAUCACAAAAUACAAUAAAAUCAUAAAACAUCAACUAAGCAGAAUAUGAAACUUGGUGCAGAAGAAGAAUGAAUAUUCUUUUUUAAAAAUUGUUUUUAUUAAAAAAUUUUUUUUAACAUUUAUCUAAUUUUUGAGAGACAGAGAGAGACACAGUAUGAGUGAGGGAGGGGCAAAGGGAGGGGGAGACAGAAUCCGAAGCAGGUUCCAGGCUCUGAGCUGUCAGCACAGAGCCUGAUGCGGGACUCAAACCCACGAACUGCGAGAUCACGACCUGAGCGGAAGUUGGAUGCUUAACCGACUGAGCCACCCAGGCACCCCAGAAGAAUAAAUGUUCUUCUGGAGAAUAGUAGGAACUUGCG
rnacentral:lncRNA from 1 species